rnacentral:rRNA from 1 species
UGCGAGUCACAGGCCGUAAGGUACUGGCAGACGGCUCAGUAACACGCGGAUAAUCCACCCUUAGGUGGGGUAUAGCCUUGGGAAACUGAGAUUAAUCCCCCAUAGAUCCCGGAAACUGGAAUGUUACGGGUUUGAAAGUUACGACGCCUAAGGACGAGUCUGCGGCCUAUCAGGUAGUAGGUGGGGUAAAGGCCCACAUAGCCUAUGACGGGUACGGGCACUGAGAGGUGUAGCCCGGAGAUGGGUUCUGAGACACGAACCCAGGCCCUACGGGGCGCAGCAGGCGCGAAACCUUCGCAAUGCGCGCAAGCGCGACGAGGGGAACUCGAGUGCCAUUGCCAUUUUUGGUGAUGGCUUUUCUUGACCCUAAAAAGAUCAGGGAAUAAAAGCUGGGUAAGACGGGUGCCAGCCGCCGCGGUAAUACCCGCAGCUCGAGUGGUGGCCACUAUUAUUGAGCCUAAAGCGUCCUUAG